rnacentral:rRNA from 1 species
AACGAACGCUGGCGGCAGGCUUAACACAUGCAAGUCGAACGCGUGUAGCAAUACACGAGUGGCGCACGGGUGAGUAACGCGUGGAUAUCUGCCUUUUGGUUCGGAAUAACUCCGGGAAACUGGAGCUAAUACCGGAUGGUUCCUACGGGAUAAAGAUUUAUCGCCAAAAAGAUGAGUCCGCGUACGAUUAGCUAGUUGGUGAGGUAAUGGCUCACCAAGGCGACGAUCGUUAGCUGGUCUGAGAGGACGAUCAGCCACACUGGGACUGAGACACGGCCCAGACUCCUACGGGAGGCAGCAGUGGGGAAUAUUGGACAAUGGGGGCAACCCUGAUCCAGCCAUGCCGCGUGAGUGAUGAAGGCCUUCGGGUUGUAAAGCUCUUUUGGCGGGGACGAUGAUGACGGUACCCGCAGAAUAAGCCCCGGCUAACUUCGUGCCAGCAGCCGCGGUAAU